rnacentral:lncRNA from 1 species
UCGCUGAUCUCCACCAGGCGAGUCGUCCUCCCAUUGCCGUCCUCUUCAUCGGCGAUCUUCUUCUUCUUCGUCUUCUUCUUCUUCUCCACUUCGCCGGCCGCCGGCGCCGACGAGGCCUGGAAGGUGUAGGUGCGGGAGGCCUUGUCCUUGCCCUGGAGCUCCGCCGUCCACCUGAGCUUCCUCUCGCCGCCGGCCGCCGCCUCCGCCACGAGCUUGUACUUCCUGUCGACGCCUCCGCCGCCGUGGGGAGCCUUGAUCUCCGUCGUCCAUGUGUACUUCCGGUCACCGGCGGUGGCGGCGGAGCUCGGCAGAGCCCUGUGGAACCCUAGCUCGAGAGCGGCGACGCGGUCGGAGAGGCGCCGGAGGGAGACCUCGGCCUCCGCCCGCUCCUGCAGGCGCCCGAUCUGUAUUAGAUCCGCCGCGCUCUCGAAGAGAUCGAGCGGCGACGGCGGCGGCGGCGGCGGCGGCGGCGCGUAGGGGAGGAGCCACGGGAGGGGGAGCUCGAGCGGGGCAGCGACGGCGAGAUCCAGCAGCGCCUCCUGCUCAUAGAGAAAGGACGGGGAGGAGGGGAAGAAUGGGAGCAACGCCGGCCUGCGGAUGGACGCCUCCCCGUACAAGACGGAGU